rnacentral:rRNA from 1 species
CAAUAGCGUAUAUUAAAGUUGUUGCGGUUAAAAAGCUCGUAGUUGGAUUUCUGCCGAGGACGACCGGUCUGCCCACUGGGUGUGUAUCUGGCUCGGCCUGGGCAUCUUCUUGGAGAACGUAUCUGCACUUGACUGUGUGGUGCGGUAUCCAGGACUUUUACUUUGAGGAAAUUAGAGUGUUUCAAGCAGGCACACGCCUUGAAUACAUUAGCAUGGAAUAAUAAGAUAGGACCUCGGUUCUAUUUUGUUGGUUUCUAGAACUGUGGUAAUGAUUAAUAGGGAUAGUUGGGGGCAUUCGUAUUUAACCGUCAGAGGUGAAAUUCUUGGAUUUGUUAAAGACGGACUACUGCGAAAGCAUUUGCCAAGGAUGUUUUCAUUGA